AUAUUCCAGUGUCUCUUCAAACCGUAUAAAUCAUUCACCUUUUUACUAAAGAUUUCCAUGGAGAGGAACAGUUAUGAGUCUUCACACAAUUUUUCGUGGCCCUGUUCAGGUGGGGCA
ensembl:snRNA U5 U5 spliceosomal RNA